rnacentral:rRNA from 1 species
GUGCCAGCAGCCGCGGUAAUACGUAGGGGGCGAGCGUUGUCCGGAAUCAUUGGGCGUAAAGCGCGUGUAGGCGGCCGACCAAGUCCGGUGUGAAAGCUCAGGGCUCAACCCUGAGUCUGCACUGGAAACUGGCCGGCUUGAGUCCGGAAGAGGAGACUGGAAUUCCUGGUGUAGCGGUGAAAUGCGCAGAUAUCAGGAAGAACACCGGUGGCGAAGGCGGGUCUCUGGGACGGUACUGACGCUGAGACGCGAAAGCGUGGGGAGCAAACAGGAUUAGAUACCCUGGUAGUCCACGCCGUAAACGAUGGGCACUAGGUGUGGGAGGUGUCGACUCCUUCCGUGCCGUAGCUAACGCAUUAAGUGCCCCGCCUGGGGAGUACGGCCGCAAGGCUAAAACUCAAAUGAAUUGACGG